GGGGUGCAUCGACCCCACUGUCCAUGUUGCUGACAGAUGUUAAACAGGGCCGGGCCCAGUGCUGACCCCCGAGGAACACCACUUGUCACUGCUCUCCACUUGGACAUUGAACUAUUGCCCACAACUCUCAGAGUGUGACCAUCCAGCCUCUGCGAUGCCAGUAAGACCGCAGCCCUGCAGGUGCUCUGCUGCUGACCCGUGAUCCCUCUCCAGGCUCUGGGCAUCUGUUCCUGGCACUGGCAUCGAGCUUGUAGGGGUGGGAUGGGUUGACGUUCACCUUCUUGGCAACGUUAGGUUAAAACCCUCUUCACCAGCUUGGUGAGCCUGUGACCGAAGAUGCUCUUCCCUUUCUCUGACAGAUGGACCCCAGCAGCCCCAGCAGCCCAGGUUUCUCUGAGUGAGUCCCAUGGUCUAAGCAGCCAAACCCCUGGCUGAGGCACCAGCCAUGGUUCCUGGAUUACAUUGUUGUGUGUGUGUGUGGAUCGCACAGUUGUUCUUCAGUAUGUUACAGUUUUACAUUUAGAGACAGUACAUUUUUGUGGUUCACACAGAAGCUACUCCCAACUGCUUGUCUUAAUAUAGCUGCACACCAUGAGUCAGAGCUCUCCUUCCUCUAUUCAAAGCUUUAUGAAGAUACUCAGAGAAGUGUGCAGCCAGCUGUUGGGCUGAAUUUGCAAACAGUUAAAAGACGUUUACCCCAUGUACAAAGAGGGCUGCUUUCAAGAACCAUGUGGUGCUACUGAAGUGUUUCUUAAAUUAUAAGCUGAAGAAAAUGUUCUGCUAAUAUGGAAAAAAGCAACAUGUGAAAGAAACAAAUGUUAGUGGACCUAACGUUAAGUCAGGUUGCUCUAUUGUGAUAACAGUGUUUUCAAGGACUGUGUGUGAAUCUUAUAUUAACUGAGGAUUGAGCUGAGGAACACAGUUCAAUUACCAACUUUCCAGUAUUGCUGCUUGCAGAGAACCUGUGUGUUAGGAAUGGAAUGUUUCUUAUAAAUACAUAUUUCUACAUGCACACCCAGCAAAAGGGACAGCUUGACUCUGCUGUCUUAAAGCGAGGAAAACACAUUGUCUUCUGGGAUGUGCUGCUUCACUAGAAGAAAACACAAUCCCGCAUUCGUUGCCUUUCCCCCGGAAGGAUGUUCUCUUUACAUGCUUUACCCCAAACCUGGGAUGAGGAGAGGGCACCUGCAGGUUUCUUGUUAAUAACCCAAACUAUUUCCAUCCAAACAUGGAGUUGUAUUGAACUGCUGGUCACAUGUUAUUAAACUAUCCACAAAUGAAUAA